AGAGUUUGAUCAUGGCUCAGGACGAACGCUGGCGGCGCGCCUAACACAUGCAAGUCGAACGAGCGAGAGAGAGCUUGCUUUCUCAAGCGAGUGGCGAACGGGUGAGUAACGCGUGAGGAACCUGCCUCAAAGAGGGGGACAACAGUUGGAAACGACUGCUAAUACCGCAUAAGCCCACAGGUCGGCAUCGACCAGAGGGAAAAGGAGCAAUCCGCUUUGAGAUGGCCUCGCGUCCGAUUAGCUAGUUGGUGAGGUAACGGCCCACCAAGGCAACGAUCGGUAGCCGGACUGAGAGGUUGAACGGCCACAUUGGGACUGAGACACGGCCCAGACUCCUACGGGAGGCAGCAGUGGGGAAUAUUGCACAAUGGGGGAAACCCUGAUGCAGCGACGCCGCGUGGAGGAAGAAGGUCUUCGGAUUGUAAACUCCUGUUGUUGAGGAAGAUAAUGACGGUACUCAACAAGGAAGUGACGGCUAACUACGUGCCAGCAGCCGCGGUAAAACGUAGGUCACAAGCGUUGUCCGGAAUUACUGGGUGUAAAGGGAGCGCAGGCGGGAAGACAAGUUGGAAGUGAAAUCUAUGGGCUCAACCCAUAAACUGCUUUCAAAACUGUUUUUCUUGAGUAGUGCAGAGGUAGGCGGAAUUCCCGGUGUAGCGGUGGAAUGCGUAGAUAUCGGGAGGAACACCAGUGGCGAAGGCGGCCUACUGGGCACCAACUGACGCUGAGGCUCGAAAGUGUGGGUAGCAAACAGGAUUAGAUACCCUGGUAGU
rnacentral:rRNA from 1 species